GAUGAACGCUGGCGGCGUGCCUAAUACAUGCAAGUCGAGCGAACAGACGAGGAGCUUGCUCCUCUGACGUUAGCGGCGGACGGGUGAGUAACACGUGGAUAACCUACCUAUAAGACUGGGAUACUUCGGGAAACCGGAGCUAAUACCGGAUAAUAUAUUGAACCGCAUGGUUCAAUAGUGAAAGACGGUUUUGCUGUCACUUAUAGAUGGAUCCGCGCCGCAUUAGCUAGUUGGUAAGGUAACGGCUUACCAAGGCAACGAUGCGUAGCCGACCUGAGAGGGUGAUCGGCCACACUGGAACUGAGACACGGUCCAGACUCCUACGGGAGGCAGCAGGAGGGAAUCUUCCGCAAUGGGCGAAAGCCUGACGGAGCAACGCCGCGUGAGUGAUGAAGGUCUUCGGAUCGUAAAACUCUGUUAUUAGGGAAGAACAAAUGUGUAAGUAACUAUGCACGUCUUGACGGUACCUAAGCAGAAAGCCACGGCUAACUACGU
rnacentral:rRNA from 1 species